UUAACCUUCGGGAGGGCGCUUGCCACGGUGUGGCCGAUGACUGGGGUGAAGUCGUAACAAGGUAGCCGUAUCGGAAGGUGCGGCUGGAUCACCUCCUUU
rnacentral:rRNA from 1 species